UGGGAUGUGAGGAGCCCCUCUGCCUGGCUGC
rnacentral:piRNA from 1 species